GACGAACGCUGGCGGCGUGCUUAACACAUGCAAGUCGAACGAAGUGGCGAACGGGUGAGUAAUACGGGGGUAACCUUCCCUCAUUUUUGGAAUAAGCCUUGGUAACGGGGUCUAAUACCGAAUAAAGGGGGAGGGGUUCGCGGCCUAUCAGCUUGUUGGUGGGGUGAUGGCGUAACAAGGAAGUGACGGGUAGCGGGCCUGAGAGGGUGAAAGGCCACAUGGGGACUGCGAGACGGCCCAGACUCAUAAGGGAGGAAGAAGUGGGGGAUAUUGAACAAUGGGCGAAAGGCUAAUGCAGCGACGGCGCGUGGGGGAUGAAGGCUUUCGAGUUGUAAAGUUGUUUCGCUAUCGAACGGGUAGGUGAAGAAGAAGCGACGGCUAACUACGUGCCAGCAGCCGCGGUAAUUC
rnacentral:rRNA from 1 species